UGCAGUCGACGAUGAACCUCACUUGUGGGGGGAUUAGUGGCGAACGGGUGAGUAACACGUGAGUAACCUGCCCUUGACUCUGGGAUAAGCCUGGGAAACCGGGUCUAAUACUGGAUACGACCUUCCCGCGCAUGCGGUGUUGGUGGAAAGCUUUUGUGGUUUUGGAUGGACUCGCGGCCUAUCAGCUUGUUGGUGGGGUAAUGGCCUACCAAGGCGACGACGGGUAGCCGGCCUGAGAGGGUGACCGGCCACACUGGGACUGAGACACGAACCANACUCNUACGGGAGGCNGCNGUGGGGAAUAUUGCACAAUGGGCGCAAGCCUGAUGCAGCGACGCCGCGUGAGGGAUGAAGGCCUUCGGGUUGUAAACCUCUUUCAGNAGGGAAGAAGCCGGCCCUUUGGGUUGGUGACGGUACCUGCAGAAGAAGCGCCGGCUAACUACGUGCCAGCAGCCGCGGUAAUACGUAGGGCGCAAGCGUUAUCCGGAAUUAUUGGGCGUAAAGAGCUCG
rnacentral:rRNA from 1 species